rnacentral:rRNA from 1 species
GGAAAGGGUGUUCGGAUUCAUUGGGCGUAAGGGCGCGUAGGCGGCGAGGUAAGUCGGGUGUGAAAUCUCAGAGCUCAACUCUGAAACUGCACUCGAUACUGCUCUGCUUGAGGACUGGAGAGGAGACUGGAAUUCACGGUGUAGCAGUGAAAUGCGUAGAUAUCGUGAGGAAGACCAGUGGCGAAGGCGGGUCUCUGGACAGUUCCUGACGCUGAGGCGCGAAGGCCAGGGGAGCAAACGGGAUUAGAUACCCCGGUAGUCCUGGCAGUAAACGGUGCACGUUUGGUGUGCGCGGAUUCGACCCCGUGCGUGCCGGAGCUAACGCGUUAAACGUGCCGCCUGAGGAGUACGGUCGCAAGAUUAAAACUCAAAGAAAUUGACGGGGGCCCGCACAAGCGGUGGAGUAUGUGGCUUAAUUCGAUGCAACGCGAAGAACCUUACCUGGGCUUGACAUGCAUCGUGUCACCGGUGAAAGCCGGCUAGUGUAGCAAUACACGCUUUGCACAGGUGCUGCAUGGCUGUCGUCAGCUCGUGUCGUGAGAUGUUGGGUUAAGUCCCGCAACGAGCGCAACCCCUGUGAACUGUUGCUACCCAGCACCAUUUUGUUUCCAAAUCCUAUUCUGUAUUCUUCAGGAAUACAACGCUUUGGAGAUAAACUGGUGCUGGGGCACUCUGUUCAGACUGCCCUGUGAAACGGGGAGGAAGGUGGGGAUGACGUCAAGUCAGGAUGGCCCUUACGCCCAGGGCUGCACACGUACUACAAUGCUCAGUACAGAACGAACCGAAAUCGCGAGGUGGAGGAAAUCAAUAAAACUGAGCCCAGUUCGGAUUGUAGGCUGCAACUCGCCUACAUGAAGCCGGAAUCGCUAGUAAUGGCGUAUCAGCUACGACGCCGUGAAUACGUUCCCGGGCCUUGUACACACCGCCCGUCACAUCAUGGGAGUCGCUUGUACCCGAAGUGUCUGUGCCAACCGCAAGGAGGCAGGCCCUAAAGGUAUGAGCGGUAACUGGGAUGAAGUCGUAACAAGGUAACC